CCCUUAGAUGUUCUGGGCGGCCCGCGCGCUACAAUGGCGCUUUCAGCGAGUUCCUAUGUUGAAUUUUCCUGGGUAUUCUUGGAAGCGGCGUCUUGACUUGGGAUAGAUCCUUGUAAUUGUUGGUUUUGAACGAGGAAUUCCUUGUAAUCGCGGUUGAUCAGCUCGCGUUGAAUACGUCCCUGCCCUUUGUACACACCGCCCGUCGCUCCUACCGAUGAAUCGUCCGGUGAAGUUCACAGAGUGGCGGUUCGUGGAGUUGCUCGCGAAGUGAAAUGGACCUCACGAUUUAGAGGAAGGAGAAGUCGUAACA
rnacentral:rRNA from 1 species